GACAGUGGGAACCAGACCACCUGGCUGAUCCUAGUGGGCUUCGGGGAGCUGCAAUACCUGGGCUUCCUUCCCUUCACUCUCUUCCUGGCCAUCUAUGUGGUGACAGUUGGGGGCAAUGCCCUCAUCAUGCUGGCUGUGGCCUCUAGUCGGACACUGCACCUACCAAUGUACUUCUUCCUCUGCCACUUCUCCCUGCUGGAGAUUGGCUAUACCUCCAACGUCAUACUAUGGCUGUUGCAGAGUUUCUUGGAGGGGAAGGAAGUCAUCUCUCUAGUCAGCUGUCUGGCUCAGUUCUACGUGUUUUCCUCGCUGGCUGCAGCUGAGUGCCUCCUGCUAUCUGCCGUGUCCUAUGACUGUUACUUGGCCAUCUGCUGCCCCCUUCACUAUCCUGCCCUGAUGAGCCCUGGUUUUGUCACUGCCUGGCCGCUGGUGCUUGGUUCAGUGGCUUCUUCUCCUCUGCCUUCACUAUGGCCCUGGCAGCACCUCUGUCCUGGCAGCAGGGAGAUUGACCACUAUUUCUGUGAGUUUGCUCCAGUAGUCAGGCAGUUCUGCGGGGAUGUGGGAGUCAUGUAGGGAGCUGAAGUCAGCAUCUCAGACUUCCUGACACUGGCCCCCUUCCUACUGAUUGUGGCAUCCUCUGCCUUCAUUGAGGGCUGUACUGCAAAUACCCUCAGGCCAUGAGAGGCAGAAGGCCUUCUUCACCUGUUCCUCCCACCUCACCGUAGUUGGGGUAUUUUAUGGCACCCUCAUUGUGGUCUAUGUGGCCCCAACAGAACACAUGUCCCCUUGCUUCUAAAGGUCUUCUCUGUCCUCUACACAGUGUUCACUCCCAUGGUCAACUCCAUCAUCCACAGCCUCAAGAACCAAGAGGUGAAGGGGGCUCUGCAUAGGCUC
rnacentral:sRNA from 1 species